CCUACGGGAGGCAGCAGUGAGGAAUAUUGGUCAAUGGCCGGAAGGCUGAACCAGCCAAGCCGCGUGAGGGAGGAAGGCGCAGAGCGUCGCAGACCUCUUUUGCCGGGGGACAAAAGGCCGGACUCGUCCGGUCCUGAGGGUACCCGGAGAAAAAGCAUCGGCUAACUCCGUGCCAGCAGCCGCGGUAAUACGGAGGAAGCGAGCGUUAUCCGGAUUCAUUGGGUUGAAAGGGUGCGCAGGCGGGCCUUUAAGGCGGCGGUGAAAUCGCGGGGCUCAACCCCGCCGAGUCGUCGGAAGUGGGGGCCUUGAGUGCGGCGGAGGCAUGCGGAAUGCGCGGUGUAGCGGUGAAAUGCAUAGAUAUCGCGCAGAACUCCGAUUGCGAAGGCAGCAUGCCGGCUCCACACUGACGCUGAGGCACGAAAGCGUGGGUAUCGAACAGGAUUAGAUACCCGUGUAGUC
rnacentral:rRNA from 1 species